UACGUAGGGGGCGAGCGUUGUCCGGAAUCAUUGGGCGUAAAGCGCGCGUAGGCGGCCAGAUAAGUCCGGUGUGAAAGCCACAGGCUCAACCUGUGAAUGCCGCUGGAAACUGUCUGGCUAGAGUCCGGGAGGGGCGAGUGGAAUUCCUGGUGUAGCGGUGAAAUGCGCAGAUAUCAGGAGGAACACCAAUGGCGAAGGCAGCUCGCUGGAACGGAACUGACGCUGAGGCGCGAAAGCGUGGGGAGCGAACAGG
rnacentral:rRNA from 1 species